GAGUUUGAUCAUGGCUCAGAUUGAACGCUGGCGGCAGGCCUAACACAUGCAAGUCGAGCGGAUGACGGGAGCUUGCUCCUUGAUUCAGCGGCGGACGGGUGAGUAAUGCCUAGGAAUCUGCCUAGUAGUGGGGGACAACGUUUCGAAAGGAACGCUAAUACCGCAUACGUCCUACGGGAGAAAGCAGGGGACCUUCGGGCCUUGCGCUAUCAGAUGAGCCUAGGUCGGAUUAGCUAGUUGGUGGGGUAAUGGCUCACCAAGGCGACGAUCCGUAACUGGUCUGAGAGGAUGAUCAGUCACACUGGAACUGAGACACGGUCCAGACUCCUACGGGAGGCAGCAGUGGGGAAUAUUGGACAAUGGGCGAAAGCCUGAUCCAGCCAUGCCGCGUGUGUGAAGAAGGUCUUCGGAUUGUAAAGCACUUUAAGUUGGGAGGAAGGGCAGUAAGUUAAUACCUUGCUGUUUUGACGUUACCGACAGAAUAAGCACCGGCUAACUCUGUGCCAGCCGCCG
rnacentral:rRNA from 1 species